AAUGUGUGUGUGUGUGUGUGUGUGUGUUUGCACUAUUUAGAGGGCUUGCGGCCCCCCCACGUCAGUAGUUUCGUCACAAGUCAAUGUAGAUGGUUCUGUGAACAGGAAAAAGAGGUAUAACCAAAAUGGGAUUGCGUUACGGAUACUUAAUGGUUAAACGGCAAUAAAAACGAGUCAAACAAUCCUCGUGAUAUUAAGUCAUGCAAUUGUACCACGUGUAAAAGUGGACUGCUUCUUGUAGUACUGUAAAUAGCAUCUUUGGGCAGAAUGCGCUGUGGGAAUACAAAUGUGGCCGUGUUUUUGAGUGGAGUACGGCGGAGUUUGAUCAGAUGUGCUUCGAGGAAAGUUUCCUUUGAUCCGAACGCUACCAGGGUGUACAGAGCGAAGUCGUGAAUGGACGUACACUCAGGGAAUAUCAAUGCAGCGCGAGUCGUCCCCGCUUCUGGCUGCCUGCUAGCACGAGCUAACUCGCAACGUAGCUCAGAAAAUGGGCUAUCUGAAAAGCUGUGCCUCAAAUUUUACAUUUGAUUCUUUUCAAAAUCCUCACCUUUGUAUUCAAAUGGCGUCUGACCGCUGACAGUGAUGAGGCUGUGAUUUUAAAUAUCAUAACUUGCUAAUGCUCGGCUCGUGAAAGCUGGGAUUUAUUGCUUUUCUAAUCAUUCCGAGUGUUGUUAGCUGUCGUGAUGUGUUGCGGCCUCUGUCGAACACAGCUGCGCUAAUGUAAUUCUGCUGAGAUGAAAGGGACCGGCUGGGUAGUGUGGUUUACUGUUGCUGUGAAACAUGGACAGAACGCAGCCAAUUAGAUCUGCUAAAGUGACAUGAUCAAGCAGAAAUACUGUGUGUGGCUUUUUUAAUGGCUGAAGUCGGCUCUGAUGCCGGAUCACUUUAAUGGCUGCCAUAUGCCAUGUUUGGUUUGGCUGGUUUCCCGCAAGAUGUUGUGCUUGUGUUUUGCGGCUUUUAGGAUUGUCAAGAUUUCUCUCAUGUCAUGUUUAAUUCUUCUCACUGCCGUUUGUGAAUGCGGACGGACACCUCGCGAGUCAUUUUGACAAUAUGCCAGUCUUGAAUGGGUCGUUUCUCGAGAAUAAAGGCUUUCAGCAGUGAAGCAAAAUGGCUUGUACAUUUCAGAGAGUUUCCACUAUUGUUAUUUUAAACAUGACACAAUUCGUACGUUAAUGGGAUAGUUCAUCUCAAAAUGAAAAUUCUGUGAUCAUUUAAUCACUCUCGUUUCAUUGCAAACGUGUAGGACGUACCGUAGUUCUUCUGUGAAACACAAAUGAAGAAAUUUGGAAGAAAAUAAAAUCAGGCAUUUCUCAAAAUAUCUUUUCUGUGUUCCACAGAAGAAAGCCAGUCGUACAUUUUCUGUAAAUUAUGACAGAAUUUUCAUAUUUAGAGGAACAAUAUUUUUAAUCCCUUUAAGGAACAGUAAUACAAUUGUGCUCAAACAGGUCGCCGCCUCUCAAGUGUGAGGGUAUUUGUUUUGUGGAAUAGCAGCAAAUACCCCCAUUCGAAACACAAGUGCCAGGUAAAUGCAUUUGAUAUUAUGGCCCCUGCUUUUUUUUUUUUUGGGUGGGGGAGUCAUCAGCCCCUUGCCCCAUUGUGCCCUAUUUAAAAGGGUUUGUCAUGAAUGUGAGAGAGCCUCUUUUCCCCUACUGCUCUCCCCUGGAAAUGGAGAUGUAAUGACAUUUGCAGUUAAAAGGAGCUCAUUCACAGUUUGUACAGUUUAAGAAUUCAAAUGAAGUGUUUUCUCGUGCUGUAUUGCCUGAAGGAACAGGCGAGAGAGGAAAGCAGAUUUCUGAGGAUUAGUUCUCCAGGUUCCCUUUAUUAUGUUAAGAGUCUGUAGUAAAUGGUGAUGGAGUGAAAAGUGAGGUAAAGUAAAGGUUGUGUGUUGGGAGGGGGCACGUUUCCUCCUCUGCAGGGCCUCAAUGGCAUGAAAACAGUGAUAUUGGACACAGUUUACACACACACGCUUACACACACAAAUGUCAGUGUGCUGCAGUGAGGCUGUUCACGGCCAUUGGCGGUGAAACACCUGUUUUCACUGGAAGAACAGCUCCUGUCACCCCCUCUAGCCCUUGGUUUGUUUUUGGUAAAUAGAGACCUGUGAAGGGAAAGUGAGUGACAUUUGGGAGAGCUUGAACUUUUAAUUGUGCUUAAUUUGUAAGAUGUCACAACAGAUAUCACAGCUGGCUUAUAUCUGCGCUGUUAACUUGGGAGGCUUUAAGAGAAGCACACAGAAUAAUUAUAAUAUUAUUUGCUUUGGUUUUUUUAUUACUUAUUUAUUGUGUAAAAAUAUUACUUCAUAUGUUGAUAUAUUAUAUAAAAUAAAGAUAAUAUUGAAUGUAUUAAAUUGAGUAAAAAUUUUUAUACAUAUUUUUUUAAAUAUAAUAUAAUAAUAAUGGUUAUAUGUUCAAAAGCAGUAUGUGAUUUACUAAAUAAAUAUAUAGCAAAUAAUAAUUUGUGAAAUAAAUAUAAUAUAGUAAAUAUAAAUAUAGUUUCUUCCUUUAAAGCUGUCAAAAUGAAGUCCUUAGCAGUUUUGAUAUAUAUUACAGUAAUAAAUAUUAACAUGAAAAAAUCUUCAUGGAAUAGGAUUAAGUAAUAUCUUAAUGUUUUUUGGCAUAAAAGAAAAAUGCCUAUUGCUACAAAUAUACCUGUGCAACUCAAGGUCCAGGGUCACAUAUUAGUUAAUACAAUAUAAAAUUCAUAUUUGUGGAAAGGAAUAUUUAAAAAUAAUAAUAUUAAUAAUGGUAUUGAUAUUUUAAAAUAAUAUUAUGUGAUUUAUUAUUCUGAAAAAUAAAUAUAUACCAGAGAUUACUAUUAAUUUGUGCAAUAAAUAUAGACAAUUACUAAUUAUUAUAAUUUCUUACUGUUACUGACUAAUAUUUUUAUAAUAAUGUUAUAAUAUAAGUUCUGUGAUCACUUCACUAGUCAACAAAAAUAAAUCUGGUAUUCCUUGUCAUUUAGUAAUAUUUUAAUGAUAGUUUUUAUAUCUACAGUAUAACUUUCCCUCAGUCAGUGUGACUUAUGAAAUGUAGUGGGUAUGUCCGAGUGCAGGAUCAACCAAGCAGAAAUCAGCAGACAGAUAUUAUAUUCCCUACAGUUUCGUCUGCAGUGUGCAGAUCGCGUUUCCACCAGACCUGCGUCUCGUUCCGCUCUGCCUUCCCGUUAAUCUCUAGGUCUCUUCGAGGUGUCAGGCUGUAAUUAGCCAUUCCCUCUGCUAUCGCGGUCUUACCUGGGUUAGAUGGGCCCAGAGAUCUGCCGUGCUACCCACCACACGAAUAUCUCCAGUUUUGAUCACAUGACGGUGUGCUGCUCUGAAGAAGAUAGGUAAUUUAGGCAGCAGAAGGUGUCACCUUCAUCGGACCUGACACACAUGCUACUCAAACCAUGGGAGACAAGAUCAGGGGCAAAUUAAUCGCCAAGAUGCCAAGGUCAGUGUCGUGCCCCCGUACGCGUGGGCUGGUCAAGUCAUUUUAGAAGACGGCGAUACAGGACAAAGUUUAUUUACACCACUGUCAUCUGUUCCCUGCAACAAAGCUGAUGAUUUCCACAUAAGAGCAGUGGGGAGACUCGGGUAGUCGGCCCCUCCAGAGCCCGCUGAAGUGAAGCCGUAGUUGGUGAAGCAGUCAGGAUGGUUCUGAUGAUACCCGCUUGGAAGCGGCUGACAUGAGCCGAGGUCUAUCAAGGAGGCCCGUGGGCUAGUGGCGAGACGGAAACCCAUCUGGGAGGCCUUUUUCUAUCGAUGCAGCUGCUGUGUUUCGACUACGUUUGUGGGUUAAAUUAACUUGUACUGAUGCCUGCUUAAUUCAAUCUCCUGUUUGAAAUGUUUCAGCGUGCCAACAUAAUAACUGUAAUCACCUUGUCAUCAAGUCCCGUUGAACUCAAUCAUCCGCCUCUGAAACGCACUAUUCCCGUGUUUGACAGCCUACGGAGUCUUCAUGUUACUAUGUGUUCAUCUGAUCAUGCUUGAGAGAUUUAUAUAAAAUUUUUUUAGGCAGUGUGGUAGCUUGUAUCCCGUGUGAUUUUAAACACGGUCAGUUGUCAUACUCUUAAUUUUACCCGAUCAAAGCUUUAAAUGAAGUUGCUCACUGCUGGUAGGCUGUGUUUUCAGUAUGUGUUGUGCUAAUGUGUGAAAGGAAAAUCGCUAAAGCCAUUAAUUAAAAUUGUACCAGAAUUCUCUAGCAAACAAUGCUGAAAAACAAGACUGUAUGUAGUUCUAAGGAUGUUACAAUUUAUAAAACUCGCAUUAAUAUUUUCACACUUUGACUUCACAGUUUGUACAAUGUGUGUCUUUUCAUACUCAGUAUCACAGUAAAAAACCAACAGCUAACAAAUCUAGCUUCAUCCUGCAUUUAAGAGUUUGGGUUCAAGUUUUAAAAUAGGUGUGUGUGUGUGUGUAUAUAUAUAUAUAUAUAUAUAUAUAUAUAUAUACGUAUGUGUAUGUGAGCGACAAAUAAGCAUAUUAGAAUGGUUCCCGAAAGAUCAUGUGAUCACACUGAAGCAUGGAGUAAACUGAAAAAAAAAUAUUCAUUGAAUUUACUAAAUAUUUUUAAGGUAACUGGUUGCAGUCAAUUUAUCUUGGAGUCAAUGAAUAUUUUGUUUUCUGUGUGAAAGCUUCUGAAGAUACUUGCAUACAUUAUAUUUAAAAUACUGUAUAUUCAAAUAGAAAACAGUUAUUUUAAACUGUAAUAAUAUUUGACUUGCGGUUUUUUUAUUGUUUUAUGGUUUUUAUACGUUUAAUUAAAUAAAUGCAGACCACAAGUUUUAAACAGCAGUGUACACCAACUGUCCUUGGCACUGUGGGCUUUGCUCUGAAAAACGGAAGUGAUGCCCGACGCGUGUUAUUUUUCAAAUAUUCAAAUACACAUUGUGCCACGUAUUAUAACAGAACAAGUUACCGAUGGACACAGUUCUGGAUCUUAUCCUAAUCACUCUUUCCUUCU